rnacentral:rRNA from 1 species
CCUACGGGUUGCAGCAGGGGGGAAUAUUGCACAAUGGGCGCAAGCCUGAUGCAGCCAUGCCGCGUGUAUGAAGAAGGCCUUCGGGUUGUAAAGUACUUUCAGCGAGGAGGAAGGCAUUAAGGUUAAUAACCUUGGUGAUUGACGUUACUCGCAGAAGAAGCACCGGCUAACUCCGUGCCAGCAGCCGCGGUAAUACGGAGGGUGCAAGCGUUAAUCGGAAUUACUGGGCGUAAAGCGCACGCAGGCGGUUUGUUAAGUCAGAUGUGAAAUCCCCGGGCUCAACCUGGGAACUGCAUUUGAAACUGGCAAGCUAGAGUCUCGUAGAGGGGGGUAGAAUUCCAGGUGUAGCGGUGAAAUGCGUAGAGAUCUGGAGGAAUACCGGUGGCGAAGGCGGCCCCCUGGACGAAGACUGACGCUCAGGUGCGAAAGCGUGGGGAGCAAACAGGAUUAGAUACCCCAGUAGUC